GACGAACGCUGGCGGCGUGCUUAACACAUGCAAGUCGAACGGAAAGGCCCUGCUUUUGUGGGGUGCUCGAGUGGCGAACGGGUGAGUAACACGUGAGUAACCUGCCCUUUACUUUGGGAUAACUUCAGGAAACUGGGGCUAAUACCGGAUAGGAGCUCCUGCUGCAUGGUGGGGUUUGGAAAGUUUCGGCGGUUGGGGAUGGACUCGCGGCUUAUCAGCUUGUUGGUGGGGUAGUGGCUUACCAAGGCUUUGACGGGUAGCCGGCCUGAGAGGGUGACCGGCCACAUUGGGACUGAGAUACGGCCCAGACUCCUACGGGAGGCAGCAGGGGGGAAUAUGGCACAAUGGGCGGAAGCCUGAUGCAGCAACGCCGCGUGCGGGAUGACGGCCUUCGGGUUGUAAACCGCUUUCGCCUGUGACGAAGCGUGAGUGACGGUAAUGGGUAAAGAGGCACCGGCUAACUACGUG
rnacentral:rRNA from 1 species